GUCGAACGCUGGCGGCGCGCUUAACACAUGCAAGUCGAGCGAAGCGGCGGACGGGUGAGUAACACGUGAGUAACCUGCCUUAGACAUUGGGAUAGCCUCGGGAAACCGGGAUUCAUACCAAAUGGUCUAAGAUGGACUCGCGUCCCAUUACCUAGUUGGUGAGGUAACGGCCCACCAAGGCGACGAUGGGUAGCCGGCCGUAGAGGGUGAACGGCCACAUUGGAACGGAGAAACGGUCCAAACUCUACGGGAGGCAGCAGUGGGGAAUAUAGCACAAUGGAGUGAACUCUGAUGCAGCGACGCCGCGUGAACGAAGAAGGCUUGCGAGUCGUAAAGUUCUUUUAUAUGGGAAGCGGUACCAUAAGAAAAAGCCCCGGCUAACUACGUGCCAGCAGCCGCGGUAAUUC
rnacentral:rRNA from 1 species